ensembl:lncRNA
UGGGAGAGGAUAAGGUGUAGGUAGCAUACUGAUGGAGAGGAUAAGGUGUAGGUAGCAUACUGAUGGAGAGGAUAAGGUGUAGAUAGCAUACUGAUGGGGGAGGACAAGGUGUUGGUAGCAUACUGAUGGAGAGGAUAAGGUGUAGGUAGAAGUAGAAGUAGAAUACUAAUGGGGGAGGAUAAGGUGUAGAUAGCAUACUGGUGGGGAGGAUAAGGUGUAGGUAGCAUACUGAUAGGUGAGGAUAAGGUGUAGGUAGCAUACUGGUGGGUGAGAAUAAGGUGUAGGUAGCAUACUGGUGGGGGAG